CGUGAUCGAUGUUUUGGGUUUCGAAUUAUAAAGUCCAUUGUAUUAAUAAUGUGAAUAGUAAAUACAAGCGCGGAAGUUCCUGCAGUUAUUCACUACCGCAUAACAUGCCUCACACCUAAGCCGUACGGAAUGACCUUUUCGUAGACUCGGUAUGAGACGAGUCCUUGUGCAGGUAGAGGUGCCUAUCUGUUGGUUUGGUGUGUAAGUCUGAAACCAGCCUUCCUGUUCGAAUUGACGUCAUAGUGUCUAGGAAUUCGAGCUGCUCUGUUGAGUAGCGGAGCUCGAGCUGUAUUCGUGGAUGGAUUGUAUUUGCAAACGCGUGGAAUGUCUUUAUUGCCUCCAAACCAUGUUUCCACAAGCCCCAAACAUCAUCAACGAACCGGAACAGUGCAUGAGACGAUGUUCAUAUUACUAACCCUGUCCGCAACCACUUGUACGGUGGAACGAUCAUUUAGCACGCUGUGACGAGUCAAGACAUGGCUAAGAUCCACCAUGUCCGACGAGAGGCUCUCAUCAUGAUUGUGCAGGGACCGGAUGAACACCGACAAGAAUAUGUUCAUACAAAAAAUCAUCGAACAAUUCGUCAGAGACCUUCACGUCCCAUUCAGGGACAGAAUAAAUGUUAAUUUGCUUGAAUUAUCGCCUCGGUUUUGCACGAAUGAAUCCUGUUUAAAACAAAACAAUCUUUUGCGCGUACAUAAAUUGUGCCAAAACCUCAUCAAUGAUGUGUUUACAUGU